rnacentral:rRNA from 1 species
GAUGAACGCUAGCUACAGGCUUAACACAUGCAAGUCGAGGGACCGGCGCACGGGUGAGUAACACGUAUCCAACCUGCCCUUUACUCGGGGAUAGCCUUUCGAAAGAAAGAUUACUACCCGAUCUAAAGGAUGGGGAUGCGUUCCAUUAGGUUGUUGGUAAGGUAACGGCUCACCAAGCCUUCGAUGGAUAGGGGUUCUGAGAGGAAGGUCCCCUGGAUUGGAACUGAGGCACGUGCCAAACUCCUACGGGAGGCAGCAGUAAGGAAUAUUGGUAAAUGAGCGCUAACCUGAACCAGCCAAGUAGCGUGAAGGAGGAAGGGUUAUGAGUAGUAAACUUCUUUUAUAUAAGAAUAUGUAUUAUAUGAAGAAGGAUCGGCUAACUCCGUGCCAGCAGCCGCGGUAAUAC